rnacentral:rRNA from 1 species
UACGUAGGGGGCGAGCGUUAUCCGGAUUCACUGGGUGUAAAGGGAGCGUAGACGGCCAUGCAAGCCAGGGGUGAAAGCCCGGGGCCCAACCCCGGGACUGCCCUUGGAACUGCAUGGCUGGAGUGCGGGAGGGGCAGGCGGAAUUCCUGGUGUAGCGGUGAAAUGCGUAGAUAUCAGGAGGAACACCGGCGGCGAAGGCGGCCUGCUGGACUGCGACUGACGUUGAGGCUCGAAAGCGUGGGGAGCAAACAGG